rnacentral:rRNA from 1 species
AUGUCUGUGAAGAUGCGGACUACCUGCACCUGGACAGAAAGACCCUAUGAAGCUUUACUGUUCCCUGGGAUUGGCUUUGGGCCUUUCCUGCGCAACUUAGGUGGAAGGCGAAGAAGGCCCCCUUCCGGGGGGGCCCGAGCCAUCAGUGAGAUACCACUCUGGAAUAGCUCGGAUUCUAACCUUGUGUCAGACCCGCGGGCCAAGGGACAGUCUCAGGUAGACAGUUUCUAUGGGGCGUAG